UACGUAGGGGGCAAGCGUUGUCCGGAUUUAUUGGGCGUAAAGAGCGUGUAGGCGGCCAGGUAGGUCUGCUGUGAAAACUCGAGGCUCAACCUCGAGACGCCGAUGGAAACCAUGUGGCUAGAGUCCGGAAGAGGAGAGUGGAAUUCCCGGUGUAGCGGUGAAAUGCGUAGAUAUCUGGAGGAACACCGGUGGCGAAGGCGGCAUCCUGGACCGGCAUUGACGCUGAGGAGCGAAAGCCAGGGGAGCAAACAGG
rnacentral:rRNA from 1 species